CAUUGACCCCGUAGCCGUCGUUUAAAAGGUGCAGCACUCUUUGCGAGCCUCUUUCACAUGUCGGAGUGAUCUGGUUCAGCGAGAGUUGAAUUUCCGCUUGAGGAAGAAUAAUAGAUAACAAACUAAAAUCAGGGCGGCCCGGUAGUCCAGUGGUUAGCACGUCGGCUUCACAGUGCAGAGGUACCGGGUUCGAUUCCAGCUCCGGCCUCCCUGUGUGGAGUUUGCAUGUUCUCCCCGGGCCUGCGUGGGUUUUCUCCGGGUGCUCCGGUUUCCUCCCACAUUCCAAAAACAUGCAUGGCAGGCUGAUUGGACGCUCUAAAUUGUCCCUAGGUGUGAGUGUGGGCGUGGAUGGUUGUUCGUCUCUGUGUGCCCUGUGAUUGGCUGGCAACCGAUUCAGGGUGUCCCCCGCCUACUGCCCGGAGACAGCUGGGAUAGGCUCCAGCACCCCCCGCGACCCUA